GAAAAAACAAGGGGGCGUGGGGGGGGCGACNCGUUUUUUUACCCCCCCCCCCCCCUUUUUGGGGGCCUGGCUGGCUUUUUUCCCCCUUUUUCUUCCCCCCCCUCCUUCCUUUUCACGCGCUCCCACACGUGUUGGGAGAGUGGAGGAGUAAGUGUGUGUGUGUGGAGGAAGAAGGUGCAGAGGGGGAAAUAUGGUGAGAGCGCGUGCGCGGACGCAGGUGUGUUGGUCACGGCUCUCAUCA
rnacentral:rRNA from 1 species